GACGAACGCUGGCGGCGUGCCUAAUACAUGCAAGUCGAACGAACUCUGGUAUUGAUUGGUGCUUGCAUCAUGAUUUACAUUUGAGUGAGUGGCGAACUGGUGAGUAACACGUGGGAAACCUGCCCAGAAGCGGGGGAUAACACCUGGAAACAGAUGCUAAUACCGCAUAACAACUUGGACCGCAUGGUCCGAGUUUGAAAGAUGGCUUCGGCUAUCACUUUUGGAUGGUCCCGCGGCGUAUUAGCUAGAUGGUGGGGUAACGGCUCACCAUGGCAAUGAUACGUAGCCGACCUGAGAGGGUAAUCGGCCACAUUGGGACUGAGACACGGCCCAAACUCCUACGGGAGGCAGCAGUAGGGAAUCUUCCACAAUGGACGAAAGUCUGAUGGAGCAACGCCGCGUGAGUGAAGAAGGGUUUCGGCUCGUAAAACUCUGUUGUUAAAGAAGAACAUAUCUGAGAGUAACUGUUCAGGUAUUGACGGUAUUUAACCAGAAAGCCACGGCUAACUACGUGCCAGCAGCCGCGGUAAUACGUAGGUGGCAAGCGUUGUCCGGAUUUAUUGGGCGUAAAGCGAGCGCAGGCGGUUUUUUAAGUCUGAUGUGAAAGCCUUCGGCUCAACCGAAGAAGUGCAUCGGAAACUGGGAAACUUGAGUGCAGAAGAGGACAGUGGAACCCCAUGUGUAGCGGUGAAAUGCGUAGAUAUAUGGAAGAACACCAGUGGCGAAGGCGGCUGUCUGGUCUGUAACUGACGCUGAGGCUCGAAAGUAUGGGUAGCAAACAGGAUUAGAUACCCUGGUAGUCCAUACCGUAAACGAUGAAUGCUAAGUGUUGGAGGGUUUCCGCCCUUCAGUGCUGCAGCUAACGCAUUAAGCAUUCCGCCUGGGGAGUACGGCCGCAAGGCUGAAACUCAAAGGAAUUGACGGGGGCCCGCACAAGCGGUGGAGCAUGUGGUUUAAUUCGAAGCUACGCGAAGAACCUUACCAGGUCUUGACAUACUAUGCAAAUCUAAGAGAUUAGACGUUCCCUUCGGGGACAUGGAUACAGGUGGUGCAUGGUUGUCGUCAGCUCGUGUCGUGAGAUGUUGGGUUAAGUCCCGCAACGAGCGCAACCCUUAUUAUCAGUUGCCAGCAUUAAGUUGGGCACUCUGGUGAGACUGCCGGUGACAAACCGGAGGAAGGUGGGGAUGACGUCAAAUCAUCAUGCCCCUUAUGACCUGGGCUACACACGUGCUACAAUGGAUGGUACAACGAGUUGCGAACUCGCGAGAGUAAGCUAAUCUCUUAAAGCCAUUCUCAGUUCGGAUUGUAGGCUGCAACUCGCCUACAUGAAGUCGGAAUCGCUAGUAAUCGCGGAUCAGCAUGCCGCGGUGAAUACGUUCCCGGGCCUUGUACACACCGCCCGUCACACCAUGAGAGUUUGUAACACCCAAAGUCGGUGGGGUAACCUUUUAGGAACCAGCCGCCUAAGGUGGGACAGAUG
rnacentral:rRNA from 1 species